CUGUUACGUGUCAUGAUCUAUAUAGCCUUUGUCUUCUUCAAACUCAUCUGGGUAAUUCAAUCGUUUCUACAGCUUCCGGUUCUCCUCUUCAACGUAUAUGUUCCUGUAUUUAUUGCAAAAAUCCUAACAGUUUCGGAAACCAAAUUAUCAUCUCGCAACACCUCUGAUCAUCUCAAGGUAUAAACCUUUUACUCUAGCCUCUCUCCCUCUCUCUAUCUUAUUAUAGCUUGAUCCCAUGCGCGAGCGAGCAUCACUGAGAGGAGGAGCGCGUAGAAGAUUGUAGAGAUGGACAAAUCAGUGAAACGAAAAGACCAUAUUGACAAGAUUUUCAAAGAAGACUCUUUAUCUCCAAAUUAAGAUUAUUCAAUCUCCAAAUCAAAAAGGGAAAAAUCUCUCUCUUUCCAAGCUGAAUAUUUUACAGGUCGAUUGGGUAUGAUGGCUUUACUUCGGCUUGGAGAUGAUACAAUACUGCCACUACGUUUUCAUCCGGCUGCGUCAUCAGGUGUGGUUUCAUUUGUUUUCGGUGGUUAAUUGGCUGAGAUGAAGCUAGCAUUGGCCAAAACCUGGGUUUGAAGAUAACACAAGGGUGUUUGAUUGAGGCGGUAUGACGUGGUCAGUCAGCGCAACGAUCUAAUUCUUGAUGAGGCAGAUCAGAUAAUAGACAUGGGCUUGAGCCUUAGGUUGUUGGUGUGUUAGAUGUGAUGCCUUCAGGAAAUUUGAAACCCUAUAACAAAUAAGAAGAGGAGAGCUGUACGAAAAUAUGAUUUACAGAACUACAUAUAUGUAUCCUGGUGUAGAGCGGCUAGCUUGGAUUGGAAGUACUUGAAGAACCCGUUUGUUGUCAUCACUGAUACUGCAGGAAAUACGACCGAUUUGAUUUCGCAGCACGUGAUUAUGAUGAAAGAAUCUGAGAAAAUUCUUCAGAUUGCAGAAACUUCUCUUCUCGAUGAGCUAGGCGUUAAAACCGCCAUCUAUCUAUAUAUAUAUAUAUAUAUAAAUAUGUUUGCUUCUCUCCUAUGCUGCCACCUAGGAUGCCACGUCAGAAAAUUAAGCGUUCUGGAACUGACACGUGUUCAGAUAAGUAAAACUCUGCGUUUCAUUUAAUCGAGUUAUGUUUCGUUUGUUCACAUGUUAAUAGGCUUCUAAACAUUUAAUUGUCCCAACGGAGAGAGGUUGUCUUCCCCGAUGGGGUGACAAAAAAUUAAGGCUCGUGUCCUCUUCGAUCUACACCAGCUAUGGAGGAGAUAUGAUGAAUUGAGUGAAUCAAAUCGACGGGUGUUCAAGAAAAAAAGUGAAUCAAAUCGACGUGAAAAACCUUUGUGCCAAGCUUUAAUUGCGUCUUUUCGUCUUCUGUUGUAAUCUUCCAAAGCGUUACGUAACAACCUUCAUAAAUGAUUCCAUGAUU